ACCACGCCAUCUCUUCGGGAGGAUAUCCAGAUGGAGUUCGACAGGCCGCUCUCUCUACCAGCACUUCCUUCAAAGGUUGUUUGAGGAACCUGAAGAUCACCAAGGCUUCCAAGACCAUGGAUGUGCAGUUCAACAAGGCUCUAGAGAUUAAAGGAGUCCAGCCUCUCUCCUGUCCUGCUGUAGCUGCGUAACCGUUAGCAUAGAUCUUCACCUUUGCGGUUUCCCUAUUACAGUACUUCGUCCAGAACCUGCACUGGGCACAAUGUUUAUAUAUCAGUGUGUUGGCCAGGUGCUGAGUCCAAAAAGUAGGUAAUAUGUUUCACAAGAACUCUCUUGUUGGAGCCCAGGUUUGAUUUUUAUCAGGUACAAAUGCAUCAAGUUUCUCUGCUAAACAGCUUCAUCCUGCCAAGCGUCACAAUGUUUAAAAUUCAAGAGAAAACUACAGAAAGCUCCUAAAAACAGGAAAUUAUCAGCUCAAAAUUCAGCCAUAUUACUUCCUGCAGUUUAUCAGUACUGUUAUAGUUAUGCAUUGAAUAUGAAAUAUCCAUAAAAUAUUACUUAGUCAGUGGUCUCUUAAGGAAAAAGGUUGGAAACCGCUACUAUGGGGUACUAUAUCUGAUUGAGUUGGGCUUAAAUAUGACACACACCUGUGUUACCUUGAUGCCUCUGUACCUGAUAAAGAGCCAGAUUCCUUGUAUGUGUUUACACUUACUUGGCCGUUAAAGCUGUAUCUACAUUGUGCUCUUACUAAAUUAAGAAAAAGGGAAGCAUUCUAUGUCCUUGUGAAAUACAAUUAUCGAUUCUUUCUGUCAAAAUCACAAAAUAAAAACAAACUCAUCCAGUUUGUAGGGUCACUGACAAUGUCUCAGUGUAUCAUAUAUUGCCUUUUGUAAAAUACAAAUAUCUAAACGGCAUGAAAACACCUGUGUUUUGCUCCUGUUUGGGGCUAACAACGUACAAAGUUACAAUUUUCAGUCUGAGAACAUGACUUAAUUUACAGUGUAAGGCUCUGGUCAAUAAAUCUUAUCAUGGCUACAAAUUGAGGUCUCAGUGUUUUAAAAUGUGUUUUAUAGUUUUUACAUGAAGGAAGGAAGAUAUUAGUAUAAAGACCUGUGCUAUGGUUACAGGUGUUCACGGUAUUCAAGCUAAUAUUUUUGGGAUAUGUGUGAUUAUUUAGACAUUAAAUCAGAUUUGUUUCCCAGAGAAGUCCCUCUUGAAAAGGUAGAACAGGGUAUGUUGAGUCCUUUAGUUUAAUAUUUACUGUCUCACCCUCAAGACAACAGAUGAAGUUGGAUUUCUUUUCAGCCCUCUGUACAGCAACAGAUGUGACCAGUGCUCUUCAGAGAUCUUAAAAUUACAACGAAAACAGCUGAUCCAAUGGUUCUAAAGCCAGAUGCCUGUAUUUGUGUGUUAUGUUUUGCAUGGUGUGGCUGAAAAAUACUUCAGCAGCUCUUUCUGAAAUAUAUUCCUAAUAGCAUCAAAAA